rnacentral:lncRNA from 1 species
UAGUCACCAGCAAAGGACUAAGAUGUUUUCACUCCUUAGAUCUUCCCUUGUGUCUGUUUAAGAAGAGGAAUCCUCACUUAUUUGGCAUCCAAGAUACAUUGGUUGUUUGCUUAACCAUCGUUUUCGCAUGUGCCAUCUGUCAAAGUCUGGAAGAAACCUAAGAUGUGUUGCAUUAAAUUUGAAGAUUCCUCCUGUUCAGAAGCAAGAAACAAACAAAAUCAAUAAGUACUCAUUAAUUAAGAAAACAGAGCAUUAUUAUGAAAUCAUACACAUGGAAAACUUAUCAACAAUAAAAAUAACGACAAACACCAUUACAUUCUCCUUUAUAGGAGACAAACAGUAUAAACCCCAAGGAAGAGUGAUUUCUCUAUGAUCUAGUAAGUUCUAAAAAUUAAAGUCCAACUAACUUUAAGGUAGAGAGUGAAUGAGACAAUUAAAUUAUUCUACUGCUUUAGAGAUUCUUUUACCCACUAUCAUCCUUGUCCCAUUACAAAGAUUUUAGGCAAAUUUGUCACAUAGAGAAAGUGAAAUUUUGGUUAUUAGAUAAGAACAAAUUAUAAUGAUGGUCACUAGGCUUCUGUUCAUAGUGCUUCAACAACUGGAUGUUCGUAUUUAUUCAACAAAUAUAUUUAUUUAUAUAAAUAGGGAAAAAGGAAAAUUUCUUGCCCUCAUGGAGUUUGCAUUGUAAUGCAAGGAAAGAAACAACACACAUGCACACAUAUACACAUACAGAAGGGUACUUAAUAAUUAGUAAAAUGUGUGUAUAAAAUGUGUAUAAUAUAUAUUUAUAACUACAUGCUGCAGUAAUGUAGGAUCCCCACUGUUUUCUUCUUCUAAAUGUAAACAAGGGCAAAGGCAACAACACAUAAAAAGUUAGUUCUUGAUGACCUUUGUCUUAAGGUUUAUCUAUUGCAAAGUAUUUUUCUCAAACUAUUCUUGUAGAUAGGAAAACGCAGAGUUCACUUUUGUUUUUGGAUAUUAAGAAUAUGUACUGUAACUGUGUGCUCUGAUUUUCAAUAUUGGUUUGGUCUGCUGCCAUUCUAAAUGCAUGUUAUAACUGAGCCAUAAUACAUAUAAGCGGUUUUUUGGGUAAUUAUCAUACGUCUCAUCCCUUCAGUGCUAUUUAUAGUCUCUACACUAAAGACUACAUUACUUUAAUUACCCAAGAAGUGAAAUAAUCCCUUAAAAGGUCCAGCUCUGGAUGUCUGGAUGUCACAAUACCAUCAUGAACAUAUUUUGUAGAGAUAUAAGGCUAUAUACUUAAGCAGGUAUAAAAUAGUCUUAUGAAAACUAAGUGAUUAAUUCCAACUGAAAUAUUUGAUAUGUGUUAAUAUGUAUUUCUUGAUGAUGGAAAUACUUCUAUGUUUAUUUUUAAGAAAGAUACUUAAAUAUCAUUUUCUUCUAGGAAUAGGAACAUAACUGAAAAAAAAAAGAUUUUAAAUAAGAGAUAAGAAUGAAACAUUGAAAAAUCCAUCUGAAUAAAGCCUGAAAAAAAUCAUCCUACUUUUAAAGGAUUUCAUAAUUGGAUUCAGUCAAGUUAUAUAAGAAGUCCUAUGAGAAUAGUCAAACGUGGUAUAAAUCUUUAAUUCAGAAAUGAGGAUAUCAUAGAUAUACAGAAUACUUGCUCAAUUAAUGGGCUAGGAAUGAAUUUUCUUUUUAUUGGGAAAGAGAACCAUGUUUUAGUAUUUGUAAGAACUUAGGUCUUGAUUUGGAGAUAGCACACAACAGUAAUGACGGUGACUGAGCCUUGAUCCUUGAAGUAAAAGACAACACACAGGAAAAAUCCACCUGUAUUUUAUUUUGUGAUCAGCACUAAUAACCUGCAUGACUCAGUGUGCAGAUAGGAGCAUGGUAGAUGGAUUCAGCAUCCAUGAGUUCCGGCUUCAGACACCUGUCAGUAAUCAAACGUUAUCUCUUUCAUAUCCGAAAUGUUUGGGUCUUUAUAUAGAAACACACACUCCAUUAUAAAUAUAUAGAUAGACUAAUGGAAGAACAAUGAAUCUAAAUUUUGAAUUUGUAUGAAAAAUUUAACUAGAUGAAGCCUUGCUUUAAUAAAGCUAAUUACAAUUGAUGUGUAAUUUGCAUAAUAAAAUGCCAGUUUACAUUCUCUUAAUCUUAAAUUAGCAUUACAAUUACAUUCUGGAUAUUUAAGAGUGUUUCUAAAGUACUAAAAAAGAAUCCAUUUGCUUGAAUUGGCAGAGUUUUUUUUCAUAUUAUGUUUUUAGUAUUUGCUUGGGAAAUAAAAAUCUUUUCAUGGUGAAAAUCAACAAAAUGAUUGAUCCAAGGUCAAACCAAGCCCUGUAUAAAUUAUACAGAAAAAGAAGAAGCCCCUUUUGAAUUAAUGAAAUUUGAAAAAUAAGAUUUAUAAUUCUGUGAAUGUUUGUAUGAAGUCAGCAUAUAGUCAUAUAUUAAAAUAUAUCUUUCAUUAACUUU